UGGUGGAGUGAUUUGUCUGGUUAAUUCCGAUAACGAACGAGACCUCCGCCUGCUAAAUAGUCACGCGAUGGCCUGUCCAUCCGCGGGUUGUACUUCUUAGAGGGACUAUGCACGGUAAGUGCAUGGAAGUUGGAGGCAAUAACA
rnacentral:rRNA from 1 species